GAGGAAAAAAGUCAGAAUUGUGAGAUAAAAACCUCAGAUUCUGAGGAAAGAUUCUGAAUGGUAAUAUAUAAACUUGGAAUUCUGAGGAAAAAAGUGAGAUAUAAACUUGUGAAAUUGUGUGAAAACAAAUUCAGAAGAAGAGCUUCCACAGAUUGAGCCCUUAAGUGUCAAGCUGACGAAGAUCUGAUGACAUCUAUGAAUGAAAUUAAAGGACUGUUUUUAUUUAACCUUAUAAAUUAUUGAUGCAAAAUGUCCAACUACAUGUUCACAUUUAUAUAUUCAGCGGAGGCUUUAUGGCGAGAAACUUUAAACUGUUUGCAACCAUUUCAUUUUUUCUAAAUGUCUUAAAUUAUUUUUGUAUUUCUAUGCCUUUUGAUAUCUAGAUCUCCUUAUUAUCCAUCUACGUACUAUAUCUAGAUAUUAAUAAUAAAGAUAUUUAAAUGU